rnacentral:rRNA from 1 species
UACAGAGGUCCCGAGCGUUGUUCGGAUUCACUGGGCGUAAAGGGUGCGUAGGUGGUUGGGUAAGUCUGAUGUGAAAUCUCCGGGCUCAACCCGGAAAUGGCAUUGGAUACUAUUCGGCUAGAGGUUUGGAGGGGGGACUGGAAUUCUCGGUGUAGCAGUGAAAUGCGUAGAUAUCAAGAGGAACACCAGUGGCGAAGGCGAGUCCCUGGACAACACCUGACACUGAGGCACGAAAGCUAGGGGAGCAAACAGG